GACGAACGCUGGCGGCGCGCGCAACACAUGCAAGUCGAACGAGAGAUGAGGAGCUUGCUCUUCAAAUCGAGUGGCGAACGGGUGAGUAACGCGUGAGGAACCUGCCUCAAAGAGGGGGACAACAGUUGGAAACGACUGCUAAUACCGCAUAAGCCCACGGCUCGGCAUCGAGCAGAGGGAAAAGGAGCAAUCCGCUUUGAGAUGGCCUCGCGUCCGAUUAGCUGGUUGGUGAGGUAACGGCCCACCAAGGCGACGAUCGGUAGCCGGACUGAGAGGUUGAACGGCCACAUUGGGACUGAGACACGGCCCAGACUCCUACGGGAGGCAGCAGUGGGGAAUAUUGCACAAUGGGGGAAACCCUGAUGCAGCGACGCCGCGUGGAGGAAGAAGGUCUUCGGAUUGUAAACUCCUGUUGUUGAGGAAGAUAAUGACGGUACUCAACAAGGAAGUGACGGCUAACUACGUGCCUGCAGCCGCGGUAAAACGUAGGUCACAAGCGUUGUCCGGAAUUACUGGGUGUAAAGGGAGCGCAGGCGGGAGAACAAGUUGGAAGUGAAAUCCAUGGGCUCAACCCAUGAACUGCUUUCAAAACUGUUUUUCUUGAGUAGUGCAGAGGUAGGCGGAAUUCCCGGUGUAGCGGUGGAAUGCGUAGAUAUCGGGAGGAACACCAGUGGCGAAGGCGGCCUACUGGGCACCAACUGACGCUGAGGCUCGAAAGUGUGGGUAGCAAACAGGAUUAGAUACCCUGGUAGUCCACACCGUAAACGAUGAUUACUAGGUGUUGGAGGAUUGACCCCUUCAGUGCCGCAGUUAACACAAUAAGUAAUCCACCUGGGGAGUACGACCGCAAGGUUGAAACUCAAAGGAAUUGACGGGGGCCCGCACAAGCAGUGGAGUAUGUGGUUUAAUUCGACGCAACGCGAAGAACCUUACCAAGUCUUGACAUCCCUUGACGAACAUAGAAAUAUGUUUUCUCUUCGGAGCAAGGAGACAGGUGGUGCAUGGUUGUCGUCAGCUCGUGUCGUGAGAUGUUGGGUUAAGUCCCGCAACGAGCGCAACCCUUAUGGUCAGUUACUACGCAAGAGGACUCUGGCCAGACUGCCGUUGACAAAACGGAGGAAGGUGGGGAUGACGUCAAAUCAUCAUGCCCUUUAUGACUUGGGCUACACACGUACUACAAUGGCGUUAAACAAAGAGAAGCAAGACCGCGAGGUGGAGCAAAACUCAGAAACAACGUCCCAGUUCGGACUGCAGGCUGCAACUCGCCUGCACGAAGUCGGAAUUGCUAGUAAUCGUGGAUCAGCAUGCCACGGUGAAUACGUUCCCGGGCCU
rnacentral:rRNA from 1 species